GAUCAUGGCUCGAGGACGAACGCUGGCGGCGUGCUUAAUACAUGCAAGUCGAACGGAGAUUAUGAUUCGGUGUAAUCUUAGUGGCGAACGGGUGAGUAACGCGUGAACAACCUGACUCAAAGAGGGGGAUAACAACGGGAAACUGUUGCUAAUACCGCAUAAGACCACAGAAUCGCAGUGGUUUAGGGGUCAAAGAUUUAUCGCUUUGAGAGGGGUUCGCGUCCCAUUAGGUAGUUGGAGGGGUAACGGCCCACCAAGCCGACGAUGGGUAGCCGAGCUGAGAGGCUGAUCGGCCACACUGGAACUGAGACACGGUCCAGACUCCUACGGGAGGCAGCAGUAGGGAAUAUUGGGCAAUGGGCGCAAGCCUCGACCCAGCAACGCCGCGUGAGGGAAGUAAGGUUUCGGAUUGUAAACCUCUGUCCUAUGUGACGAAGGAAGUGACGGUAGCAUAGGAGGAACGCCCCGGCUAACUACGUGCCAGCAGCGGC
rnacentral:rRNA from 1 species